rnacentral:rRNA from 1 species
GACGAACGCUGGCGGCGUGCUUAACACAUGCAAGUCGAACGGACAGACAGAGAGCUUGCUCUCUUGAAGUUAGUGGCGAACGGGUGAGUAACGCGUGAUCAACCUGCCCUUCAGAGGGGGAUAACAACGGGAAACCGUUGCUAAUACCGCGUACGUUUCAUGAACGGCAUCGUUUAUGAAUGAAAGGUGGCCUCUAUGUAUAAGCUAUCGCUGAAGGAGGGGAUUGCGUCUGAUUAGCUUGUUGGAGGGGUAACGGCCCACCAAGGCAAUGAUCAGUAGCCGGUCUGAGAGGAUGAACGGCCACAUUGGGACUGAGACACGGCCCAAACUCCUACGGGAGGCAGCAGUGGGGAAUCUUCCGCAAUGGACGAAAGUCUGACGGAGCAACGCCGCGUGAGUGAUGAAGGUCUUCGGAUUGUAAAGCUCUGUUAAUCGGGACGAAAGAGUUCUGCGUGAAUAAUGCAGAAAAGUGACGGUACCGGAAUAGAAAGCCACGGCUAACUACGUGCCAGCCGCCGCGGUAACAC